ensembl:lncRNA
UGAUAGAUGCAAUGUUUAGGUUAGGUCUGGAAUUAUAUUAAGUUGCGAUCGGAUGUCUCACAUAUCUCAUACUUACGUAUUGUACUUAGUGAACCUGGAUGUGCCUCGUGUGUAAAAUCAAGGAGAAAGUAUCCCUGUUGUUGAUCAAUCAAUCAAAUUUAUUUAUAAAGCAGUUUUUACAUCUGCAAUUGUCAGACCCCAAACAGCAAAGCAUAAGCAAGAACACAGUGGCUAGGAAAAACUCCCUAAAAGGAAGAAACCUAGAGAGGAACCAGGCUGAGAGGGGUUGCCAGUCCUCUUCUGGCUGUACCGGAUAAAGAUUUCCAAUACUUCAAGACCCCGUGGUCGGUCUGAUAGCUUUUAACAAAGACACGGUAAGUAAAGAAAUAAACAUUUGUUGGUGUAGCGGCUAAAGGAGGCAGCACAACCAGGUGGACUUGGUCAGCAGGGGUUCCAUAGGACUGGGAUCAGCAGCACAACCAGGUGGACUUGGUCAGCAGGGGUUCCAUAGGACUGGGAUCAGCAGCACAACCAAGUGGGCUCAGGCAAUGAAUGUCUGGGUGUAUUCAGGCCAGGGUGCCCUCAGCCACAUUCCUCUGCGUUUUCCACUUCCACGGGGGAGACACAGAAAGAUAAAACAGACAUUUACAAGUCAUUUAUGACAACACAUAUUUUGUUAAAUCAGGGGUCGGUCUUCCAUAAUUUUUCACUCAUAAGCAGUAGUAGACUACAUGAAAAAUGAUUUCAUUUAAAAAAAAAGAAAAACAUAACUUGGUAGGAAUGCAGUCAAGUUGCACAAAUGAAAGGGUCUCUGAUCCCUACCACACAUUAACAGUUGAUUCACCUGUGGCGGAAAAGUGGUAUGUUUACAUCUCGUACAGGCUACAUGUUUGUGUGUAAGUUAGCUGUGUUGUUACCAUCCCUGCAGCCUAGUCUACAAUGAAACAAAAGCCUAAGAGUGAUAAAAAUGCCCUGUGGUUUUGAAUGUCAAAUGUCGUGAUGAUUUAAUCUAUCGCUCUCCGUGAUGCUGAAUCUCAGCUAGUAUCCUAAUUGUGCUUGGCAAGGGCUUAUCAAUUUCUUCCCUCCUAACACUCGUUUUUUUUUGCGAUGGCUCUUACUGUCACCGACCCAUGUGUUAAACACAUUUUUAUUAACUAUUUCAGUCUAAUGCCAAAUCCCCCUUAAAACAAGCCUAUGAUGACAGUGGAAAGCAAAAAAAACUGUACCACUAUAGUUAGGAACAGACCUUGGGGGGAAGCAUCCUCUCAUUGCUGCUGACAGGUCGGCAGGGUGGAGAUGGUUGUUUCUUCCACCGGCAAACUGAAUGGGGAUAGGGAUGUUGAUCGGCGGGUGUUGACUGUUACAACCACUGGCAGGAGGAGGUCAUUUACUGUAAAAGAAUGGAGUAGUAUAUUAUUGUUUAGGGGCAUUUGCCAAAUCAUAAUUGCAGUUAGGAAUUGAAUCACUUAAGACAAUAUAGGAUGACUUCAUAACUGAAGAUUCCAGUGGCAACAUAGAACUGUUUUCAGUUCUUGGUUAUACCUCACCUUGCUCUGAUUCUUGCACUUGUUUCUCUGGAUAUGCACUGUUCACAUUCACGUAGGCAGCGAGGUAAACAACGUAUUUAUUCCUUUCUAUCUCCAUGUUGAAGUCCUGGAAUUGGGGCGUUCCUGAGUUAUCGUACAGCAUCCAUUGCCCUCCUUCUUGUUUAACACAUAGCACCAUGUGUUUGAUCUCUGCUGUGAUCAAACCCAGCAAAAGGAACUGAAGCUCGUACUUCCU